rnacentral:rRNA from 1 species
CCCUUAGAUGUUCUGGGCCGCACGCGCGCUACACUGACGAAUGCAACGAGCUUAUAACCUUGGCCGAAAGGUCUGGGUAAUCUCCAAAUUUCGUCGUGAUGGGGAUAGAUUAUUGCAAUUAUUAAUCUUCAACGAGGAAUGCCUAGUAAGCGCAAGUCAUCAGCUUGCAUUGAUUACGUCCCUGCCCUUUGUACACACCGCCCGUCGCACCUACCGAUUGAAUGGUCCGGUGAAAUCUUCGGAUCUGAGAGAUGUCUGAUUAAUUUCGGACGCCUUUUGGAAAAGUUGUUUAAACCUUACCAUUUAGAGGAAGGUGAAGUCGUAACA